GUGUCAGCCGCCGCGGUAAUACGUAGGGGGCGAGCGUUGUCCGGAUUCAUUGGGCGUAAAGAGCUCGUAGGCGGCUUCGUAAGUCAGGUGUGAAACCUCCAGGCUCAACCUGGAGCCGCCACCUGAUACUGCGAUGGCUUGAGUCCAGUAGGGGCGCGCGGAAUUCCUGGUGUAGCGGUGAAAUGCGCAGAUAUCAGGAGGAACACCGGUGGCGAAGGCGGCGCGCUGGGCUGGAACUGACGCUGAGGAGCGAAAGCGUGGGUAGCAAACAGGAUUAGAUACCCUGGUAGUCC
rnacentral:rRNA from 1 species